rnacentral:rRNA from 1 species
GUGGGGAAUCUUGCGCAAUGGGCGAAAGCCUGACGCAGCCAUGCCGCGUGAAUGAUGAAGGUCUUAGGAUUGUAAAAUUCUUUCACCGGGGACGAUAAUGACGGUACCCGGAGAAGAAGCUCCGGCUAACUUCGUGCCAGCAGCCGCGGUAAUACGAAGGGGGCUAGCGUUGCUCGGAAUUACUGGGCGUAAAGGGCGCGUAGGCGGACAGCUUAGUCAGAGGUGAAAGCCCAGGGCUCAACCUUGGAAUUGCCUUUGAUACUGGCUGUCUUGAGUUUGGGAGAGGUGAGUGGAACUCCGAGUGUAGAGGUGAAAUUCGUAGAUAUUCGGAAGAACACCAGUGGCGAAGGCGACUCACUGGCCCGUUACUGACGCUGAGGCGCGAAAGCGUGGGGAGCAAACAGGAUUAGAUACCCGUGUAGUCC